AGAGUUGUAGCUCAGCAGUAGAGCCCUCGCCUCAUAUGUGUGAGACACUGGGUUCGAUUCCUAGCACCACAU
rfam:Ictidomys tridecemlineatus contig066180, whole genome shotgun sequence.